GUUUUUCUUUCCGUCUUUUUUUGGGUUUCAUUCCCCACACUGUCUACACACUUGCACUGUAGUCGUAUAUCUCUCCAUAGGUUAAAGGUUCCAUGGAUUAAUCCGUGAUUCGAUGUUCCAGAAGGUUGAGGAAAUCGGCAUCAGAGAACUAAAGUUUGAUGCAAUAGAAUUGCCUACUGAAGCAUUCACAAAUAUACAUCGGGAUAGGAACAUCAACUUCGUGUUGGGAUCUACGACUCAUGUUGGGUGAAAUUCAAUUGUAGUCACAGACAAUUCCUUUUUGUUUCAUAUAUUUUUUUAUGUUAGACUAUGGUCAUAUUGUCUUUGUUUAGUAGUUUCCCGGAUCCUUUAUCUCAUUAUUUAUUUUAAUGCACAGAGUAUUUAUUUAGACGUAA